rnacentral:rRNA from 1 species
CCUACGGGAGGCAGCAGUGGGGAAUAUUGGGCAAUGGGCGCAAGCCUGACCCAGCAACGCCGCGUGAAGGAAGAAGGCUUUCGGGUUGUAAACUUCUUUUCUCAGGGACGAAGAAAGUGACGUUACCUGAGGAAUAAGCCACGGCUAACUACGGGCCAGCAGCAGCGGUACUCCGUAGGUGGCAAGCUUUAUCCGGAUUUAAUGGGUGUAAAGUGGGUGUAGGCGGGGAAGCAAGUCAGAUGUGACAACCACGGGCUCAACAUGUGGCCUGCAUUUGAAACUGUUUUUCUUGAGUACUGGAGAGGCAGACGGAAUUCCUGGUGUAGCGGUGAAAUGCGUAGAUAGUAGGAGGAACACCAGUGGCGAAGGCGGUCUGCUGGACAGCAACUGACGCUGAGGCGCGAAAGCGUGGGGAGCAAACAGGAUUAGAUACCCCAGUAGUC